AGACAUGAAAUGCAAUUAAAGGUGCCAUAGAUUAAACCCAUUCACAGAAAAGUUCUUCAAAGUCUGCCCCUCCCUGCUUAAAGGAUGCCAGUAUUAUUGAAAGGAACAGUUUCACUUUUUUCACAUUUCAGUCUCACGGCAAAGAAGAUUGUUGAAGGCAGAGUGGUGGAUGUUGUCUUUAUGGCUUCAACAAGACGUUUGACAAUGUUCUGCAUGAUAAACUGAUAUAGGCAUUGCCGGCUAGGCCAACAUUUAUUGUCCAUCUCUAAUUUCCCUGAUGGCAGUUCAGAGUCAACCCAAUUACUGUGAUUAUGGAGCCAGACCAGGAAGAAUGCUUAAGGAUAAAUGUAUUGGAGACAGAACAGAGGAGGUUUACGAGAUUACUACCCAG